rnacentral:rRNA from 1 species
CCUACGGGAGGCUGCAGUGAGGAAUAUUGGUCAAUGGGCGCGAGCCUGAACCAGCCAAGUAGCGUGAAGGAUGAAGGCCUUCGGGUUGUAAACCGCUUUUAUAAGCGAGAUAUAUGAUGGCACCUUAUGCAUACGGAUCGGCUAACUACGUGCAAGAAGCCGCGGGCAUACGUAGGAUCCGCGCAUUAUCCGGAGUGACUGGGGGUAAAGAGUUGUGUAGGUGGCAUAAUAAGUAGCUAGUGAAAUCUGGUGGCUCAACCAGUCAGAUUAUUAGCUAAACUGUUAGGCUUGAGUACGCUAGGGGUAACUGGAAUUUCUGGUGUAGGAGUGAAAUCCUUAGAUAUUAGAAGGAACACCAAUAGCGAAGGCAGGUUACUGGGACGGUACUGACACUAAGGCACGAAAGCGUAGGUAGCAAACGGGAUUAGAUACCCGUGUAGUC